rnacentral:rRNA from 1 species
UGGGGAAUAUUGGACAAUGGGGGAAACCCUGAUCCAGCAAUGCCGCGUGAGUGAAGAAGGCCUUAGGGUUGUAAAGCUCUUUCGCCCGCGAAGAUAAUGACGGUAGCGGGAGAAGAAGCCCCGGCUAACUCCGUGCCAGCAGCCGCGGUAAUACGGAGGGGGCUAGCGUUGUUCGGAAUUACUGGGCGUAAAGCGUACGCAGGCGGAUGCGCAAGUUGGGGGUGAAAUCCCGGGGCUUAACCUCGGAAUUGCCCUCAAAACUGCACGUCUUGAGACCGAGAGAGGUAAGGGGAAUUCCUAGUGUAGAGGUGAAAUUCGUAGAUAUUAGGAAGAACACCAGUGGCGAAGGCGCCUUACUGGCUCGGUACUGACGCUGAGGUACGAAAGCGUGGGGAGCAAACA